GGUGACUUUGGGAUUGCUUGCUGAGCAGUAUCUGGGAAGAUAUCUUCCCUUUGUGUUCAGCCACACCAUCUCCUCUGCCCCCUUCCUGGUCACAGGCCACCGCUGCACUGCACGGAAGUUGCAGAGAGGAGUGUUCAUGGUGCUGUGGCCACAGGUAGGGAGGAAGAGGGCUGGCUGAGAAAGGUUGGGUGAUAGUGCAUCAGCUCUCUGGAGCCUUCCCAAGGGAAGCCACAACCAGAUGUGCUGGUGGUGUUGCAGUAGAACUCCAGGGAGAGAGUUAAUGGGGACCCUUUGAUCCUCAUCUCCAAGGCAGGUGGAGCGAGGUGGCCAGGUUUGCUCAGCGAGUGGGUGGUGGAUGAGGAAAGGGCAAGACUUAUCCUGAAGGCUGAUGGCAGCAGGAUCCCUCCCUGAGGAACAAGGCAGCAACUGAGGUGCAAGGGAUAGAGAGACCAUGGGAUUUGUCCCAAAUAUUUGGACAUGGGUUUUGUUAUCAGCAGCUCCUGCAAGAGGAGGCAAAGGCCCUGCCAUGGGCAGAAGCGGGCCCUGAGAAGGCAGGGCUAACAAGCACCACUCGCUGGCACCCAAAGCCAAGAAUUCAGAAGCAAUGUGGAUAACAAUUUUGGCAGAAAGAGCGAGUGAGGUGCUCCUCCCGUUUCCCCACUGCCUCGCUUCUUGGGUGGCCAUCUGCCUGGGGCAGAAAGGGAGCGUGAAACACUGCACGAUCAGGUGGGAGAGGAACGGUCAGGUGUGGGACGGGAGGAAAGAGCAAGAAGGGGUAGGAAAUCAUGAUCCUAUCCCCACCGCCCACUCAGCUUCAUGCCAGCUUCCUUCUCCACUCGCUCUGGCUCCCAUCACGGCCCCGUGGGGCUCAGCACCCUUCUCCAGCCCUGUGUGCAGGCUGGGGCACAGGCCCAAGUCACAGGUUCAGGCCCACCGGGCUGAGCGCCUGCACGUGCUCCUUUGUGCAGAGCAGCAGCGAGGGGAGGGGAAGGUCAGUGCCAGCUUUUCCCAGGCUUUGCACUGUGCUUCUCCUCGCAGGGAGCUCUGCAGGGAGGAGGAGAGAAAAGAGGAGGUAUCAGAUGCUGUUCAACAGAAACUUGAAACUGAGCAUAAGCGUAAGGUAGGUACCGUGUCUCUUUGCCGCUCACAGACACAAAACCCACUCCCUUCCUUUUUCUCUUGGUCAGUCUUUGGUUGCUGA
rnacentral:lncRNA from 1 species